rnacentral:rRNA from 1 species
CCUACGGGUGGCUGCAGUGGGGAAUAUUGCACAAUGGGGGAAACCCUGAUGCAGCAACGCCGCGUGAGUGAAGAAGGUUUUCGGAUUGUAAAGCUCUGUUAGCAGGGAAGAGGAAGGACGGUACCUGCAGCGGAAGCCACGGCUAACUACGAGCCAGAACCCGCGGUAAUACGUAGGUGGCAAGGGUUGUUCGGAAUAUCUGGGCGUAAAGGAUGCGUAGGCAGUUAAACAAGUUAUAUGGUAAAUAUAUAGGCUUAACCUGUAGAAAGCAUAUAAAACUGUUUAACUAGAGUGCAGGAGAGGUAAGUGGAAUUCCUAGUGUAGCGGUGAAAUGCGUAGAGAUUAGGAAGAACACCGGUGGCGAAGGCGACUUACUGGACUGUAACUGACGCUGAGGCAUGAGAGCAUGGGGAGCGAACAGGAUUAGAUACCCGAGUAGUC